rnacentral:rRNA from 1 species
UACGUAGGGUCCGAGCGUUGUCCGGAAUUAUUGGGCGUAAAGGGCUCGUAGGCGGUUCGUCACGUCGGGAGUGAAAACUCGGGGCUUAACCCCGAGCCUGCUUCCGAUACGGGCAGACUAGAGGUAGGCAGGGGAGAGCGGAACUCCUGGUGUAGCGGUGGAAUGCGCAGAUAUCAGGAGGAACACCGGUGGCGAAGGCGGUUCUCUGGGCAUGUUCUGACGCUGAGGAGCGAAAGUGUGGGGAGCGAACAGG